rnacentral:rRNA from 1 species
AGCAGCCGCGGUAAUUCCAGCUCCAAUAGCGUAUAUUAAAGUUGUUGCAGUUAAAAAGCUCGUAGUUGAAUUUCGGGAUUGGCGCAUCGGUCGUGCCUCACGGGGUAUGAACUGGUGCAGUCAAUUUCUCACCUUCUGGAGAACCGCGAUGUCCUUAAUUGGAUGCCGCGGGGAACCAGGACCUUUACUUUGAAAAAAUUAGAGUGUUUAAAGCAGGCAUUUUUGCUUGAAUACAUUAGCAUGGAAUAAUAAAAUAGGACGGCAUGGUUCUAUUUUGUUGGUUUCUAGGACCACCGUAAUGAUUAAUAGGGAUAGUUGGGGGCAUUAGUAUUCAAUUGUCAGAGGUGAAAUUCUUGGAUUUAUUGAAGACUAACUACUGCGAAAGCAUUUGCCAAGGAUGUUUUCACUAAUCAAGAACGAAAGUUAGGGGAUCGAAGACGAUCAGAUACCGUCGUAGUCUUAACCAUAAACUAUGCCGACUAGGAAUCAGACGAUGUUAAUUUUUAAUGACUCGUUUGGC